UCCCUGGCAGUCCAAUGGUUAGGUCUCAGUACUUUUCAUUGCAGUGGCCUGGGUUCAAAUCCCUGUCAGGGAA
rfam:Ovis aries breed Texel chromosome 3, whole genome shotgun sequence.